UUGACUAAAGCCAAAUAAGAGGCUAAUCACUGUUACUGAUUUAACUGGGGUACCCUGGUCGUU
rnacentral:tRNA from 1 species